CGAAACAAACUCACUCACUUUCUUUAGCUGCCGAACGCAGCCUUAGUCUCCCCUGUAUUUCUCUUUGUUUGGAGACUGCCCUAUAGUGCACAUGGCAAGAGCUACUGCUCAGUAUAGCCCCACGUCAGAUUUAUGUGUCCUAUGUAACUGCAAUUGGUAUUUAAUUGUUAUGAGUGAAGACCAAAUCAAUAUGCAAAUAAAUGGAAAUUACUGCAAAUCUGCACCAAUAGUUCCAUACCAACUUACAAUUAACCUAUAUGUUCUCUUACAAAUUAGAAAAGAAACGCCACAUUUUACCGCCUCCAUGUAAGGGAUAAGGGAAACAAGCAAUGAACACUGAACCGGUCAAGUCAUGCGUGCGACUCCACUCCAUCCAUUUCCUUGGUCGAAAAAACAGUGUGUAGUGAAGGCAAGCACAGAGCCAACUUGCCACACAACGACAGCUGUUCAUUGAUCUUCCUAGCUGAGCUGUUGACAAGGAUCACAAAGUGGAUGUUACGUUCCUGAAAACACUGAAGGCUCGAAUGGUCCGUACUCAGUAGCAUAUAUGUGAUAGUUUCACUUCACUGAAGGCAAGACUAGUUUUUCUCAUUGGUUUGCUCGAUAUGCCAAAUUCAAGUGGUGUUGGGAUGCCGGUGGCACCAGACAAGGGUGUGCAUAUGAUUCCCCAGCUGCGUGUGGCAACACAAGGCUCGGAACCAUGAGAGAGUGGGCAUGUCAAUGCAACAGUGUAGUCCAUCUCUAAUACCACUGUGCAUGGGCCAAAACUUGUCAUGCUGGAUGGUGAUUAAUUUCCAGCAUAUAGUUUGUUCUUGGA